AGGACGAGAGGAGCGAGGAGCGCGGUUUUUGACCCAGAUCCGGAGCGUGCGCGGGAACAGCGGCAGGCUCAAGCCCACGGCCGGGCCCCACCCUACCGACAGUGCAGCACGCCUGCGACUUAACUCUGGAGUCGCUGGCGCCCCAGCUAGGACUCGCCGGGCACAGAGAGGUACCAGGAGCCACCUGGACACUCACCGAGUGAAGGAGGGGAGCCCUCGCUCACCCGGUCUGAAAUGAAUCACCAGAUGUGUGCAGGAGAGGUACCUCUGCACCCGGUACCAGAGGCCGCGGGAAUGAUGUCUGCG